GCAGCUACUGCCUGAGAAUGAAAGCUUUCGUGCAGUGUGAAUCAAAGAUUACAUUGUUAGGUUCACAGUUGAUACGAAGUUCAAAAGCAAGAAUCCUAUAUUUUAUAUAAUGAAUUUUCAAAUAUGUUAGUACUUAUGUAGAUAGUGAAUCCUGGUCAGAUAUUACAAAGAUGAAGACUAAAGAAAAACAGUAAGGUUUGGCAUCCUAGCAUGCAGCUGUGGCCAGAUACCACUAUCAGCUGAGUCCUCUGGGUCACCUGAUGGAAUAGUAUAAAGAGCAUCAAGAGGACUUAAGAGAGCUAUGUUGCCUAGAAACUGACUGAGCCUUUUCAUGGAGGAAAAAUUUCUACACUCAAAACUCUUCAAAGUCUUUUUUGUUUCAAGAACUUCACAGAAUGUAUUUUGCAUUCUGAUUCCAAAGGGUUCUGUGGACACUACAGGAGAUCAGUUUUUUGCAAAACUCACUUGAUACAAAUUUCAUGAAUGCAAAAUGCAUUGAUUCCAGAAAGUCUUAUGUGAAAGCCUUGAAAGAGAAAUAUUUUUACAUGUAUUUUAAGCCUGUUCUAAAUUUGAUUUGCACAUUCUGCCUCAUUUUUGUUGUUUGUCAGUUUAAAAUUUGCAAUGAUUAAGCCAUUAGCAAGAUGUCAGGAGUGACACUCAAAUAUGCAAACAGAGUAAUAGUUUUUGUAGCUACAUAGAUCUAGAUUAGUGACUGUUGUGUUCCUUCUAAAUGUGCUCUUGACAGAAUUCUCAGGCAACAGCAAAUAUAAAAUAGCCCAUUUAAAAAAAAAAAACAUAAUAAUGUAAAGAAGUACAUUCUGAAACAAAAUCCAGAAAGUAAAUAUUUAGAUAUUCUUUUCUAUUUGUUUUUAUCUCUAUAGGGACCACAGAGAAUGAGGACAGAAAAAUUAGCAAAAAUGAACUGCCUUCUUCUGUUUUAGCCUCUAAUGCUUUUGAGCCAGUUCCUGAAGUAUAUAUGUUCUCAUAUAUCUUACACAGAACAUGUGAACUUCAUAUGUAGUGGAGUUUGCCCCAUUUUCCUUUUCUUUCAUUGAACAGAAUUUGCAAAGCCUGAUAAGUAGCAUUCAGACUAUAACAGCAAGCCACAGACAGAUAGGAGAGGCUUCCGUGUAUAGAUGUAAUAGUAUCUUCAAAGACAUAUUGUUAAAUAACAGCAUCUCAUAAAUCCUCUGCUUCAAAAGAACACUGUGGUACAAUCAGAUUCAAAGUCCUCUUUGCAUUUAGCAUUUGUGACUGAAUCAUCUUAAGAGUAUCUGGACACUGUUAUUUAAAGGCAAUUCACCCUUCGUUUGUAGCCUUGGUAUACUUCAUGUAUUAUCAUUAUUUCCCUCUGAAUCAAUCUUGACUGAACGGGAUACUAAGAAUUUUAAAAGAGCAUUCAUAUUCUCACUUUCCUAAAUUUUUAUACUAUAACAUGCAGCUCAAAGCUGAGUACCGAAGUCAUUCCUAAGCAACCAAAACUUGAUCCAUUAACCAAAAUUUUCUGUUCUAUCUCUCCUGUCUUGUCCCACUCAACGGGUUUUGAGGGAGGUGAAUCUUUUUCUAUCUCCUGAGUUGCAUUUCCCCUAGUCAGCAAGGGAUCACUGCCACGACAGAGACAUCCAAGACUCAGAGGAACAAUACACAUUUGUUUACUGAGAGCUUUCUUAACAACAGCUACUUGGAGGUAAAAUUGGCUAAUUACCAUUAAUAAGCAUUACAGGUAAGAAUGUUUUAGGCAAUGGCUACUACGAAGAGUAAAAGAAUAAAAGAAGAUAAAGAGGAAAGAUAGAAAAUGGGGAAAGAGAGACAGACAGAUACAUAAAUACAGCAAAGCAAGGUGAUUCACCACUCCUAGAUUCAGUGACAUCUUGAUGUCAGGUGCUGAUCUUCAGUGGUGGUGGGUCAUUGGAGGUUGUGUGAUCAGUUGACGAUGACUAACAGCAAUAGUAAAAACUCUUAUUUAUAGUCCCAAGUGGUCCAGUCAGCUCUUUUGGAGUGGCAGCUCCUGACUUUGGUAUCUCAGCAGGAACUCCUUCGUUCCCAUCUCCCAGGCCUUGCAAAUUUAAGUCAGCAGAUAAGAGGAGGCAGCGAGAUUCUAUCCUGUCUUCACAGGAUACAGUGGUAUCACCUCCCAGUUUCCUCUACCAAGCUGGAGUUAUUUGGUCACAGGCCAAGUCUUCAGCAAAUGAACACUCCCCCAUUUUGAAGGCAAACAGCUCCAAAGAAAUGCUUUCAAAUGUAAAAUUGUCCACAAAGUGAUGCUGAUUGCAUCAUGUUGAUUUGAGAUGCUCCUUACCAGUCACAGACAUCUCAAAUGUAUAAAUUUUGAAUAGUAGCCUUUCUCUCUUUUUAGCUCAACAAAAUAGAUAACAUUUUUUUGCAUAUAUAAUGUGCAUGGCUGGUUGAAAAAUAUUUAAGACACUUGGUAAAUAGGAGAAAUAAUGUUCAUUUAGAAAAUCAACAGAACUUUCAAGUUUCAACUUAAGUCUCAGGGUUAUAUGGCAGAUUACAAGGGAGAUUUCCUCUUCAGUAACCAAGAAGACUAAUCUGACAAAACAAAACACAUCACUACUUUAGAAUCUAAUUGUGGCAUUGUAGUGUGUUGUUGUUGUUGUUUGUUUUCAUAAGAAAAAAAAGAAAUAUUUCAAUAAUAAUUCACUUCAAAUAUUAAUUGCCAGAGAAGAUAUUUAAAUAUUUGUUAUUUGAUCCACUUCUGCACUGUCUCAAGAAAAUUGCACA